rnacentral:rRNA from 1 species
AUCAUUACCUAGAGUUUGUAGACUUCGGUCUGCUACCUCUUACCCAUGUCUUUUGAGUACCUUCGUUUCCUCGGCGGGUCCGCCCGCCGAUUGGACAACAUUCAAACCCUUUGCAGUUGCAAUCAGCGUCUGAAAAAACAUAAUAGUUACAACUUUCAACAACGGAUCUCUUGGUUCUGGCAUCGAUGAAGAACGCAGCGAAAUGCGAUAAGUAGUGUGAAUUGCAGAAUUCAGUGAAUCAUCGAAUCUUUGAACGCACAUUGCGCCCCUUGGUAUUCCGGGGGGCAUGCCUGUUCGAGCGUCAUUUCAACCCUCAAGCCUAGCUUGGUCUUGGGCUCUGCCGGCAACGGCUGGCCUUAAAAUUAGUGGCGGUGCUAUCAAGCUCUACGUGUAGUAAUUAAACCCUCGCGUGUGAGUCUUGGUUAGACGCUUGCCAGCAACCCCCAAUUUUCUAUGAUUGACCUCUGAUUA